AUAAUUUGCAGUCACUGACCCCUGGGCCAAUCAAGCAGCAAUAAGGACUUACUGUUGUUUGCAGUGCUGUUUGGUGUCCCUGUGCAUACCCCCUCUGCAAGUCAGGAGGCACUUGGGAGGAAUUUGGGAGGGGUCAUACAACAGUGAUAUGACUCUAGGAGACUAUUUCUCUUUUUCUAGACUUUGUCAGAUGCCCCUGAGAGAUUGUUUGGACAAUGUUUUUUUGUCGUUUUCUCCUUAACUACAGGAAAGACUGGAUAAUGCCUUGUAAUGUGAAGGUUUCUCUGCUGUCAUCUGUGAAUGUCAAGUACAAUUAGAAGUUUGCAGGAGCAGUACAAAAGCUAAUCCAUUUGGAGUCAUCUUGAGCACUUGACCUCCUUUUAUCUUUGGACAAUGAGCUUCACAGAUUAAUGAAGUGUUUCUAGACUGUUGGUCUUCAGCAUCACUGGGUGUCAGCUUCCAUGAAUACAGAUCACCAGGACCACCUUGUUCAUGGUAUAAAGUAAACAAGGAGAAGACAUACCAGAGGCUGCUAUUAACCUACAGGCUGCUGGUCCCCAGACAGUUUGGAGAGUUACCUCAGUGAGAAAUAUCACAGAGCAUGAAUCCUCCUGGGCUCGCCAGGGCUAAGGCAAGAACAAGACUGCAGGGUAAGGGCAAUAGGAACCAAUAUGAAGUCAGUCAGAUGUCCUUUCAUGUCAAGCAUUCUGCCUCUGAGAGGGGCUAUGUGUAAGUACAGCAAAGGAAGAAGUAAGAAUCCUUG